CGAGCACGUAGGUGGGUUUGUAAGUCAGAUGUGAAAGCCUUCUGUUCAACGGGAGAAUUGCAUCUGAAACUGCUAAUCUUGAGUAUAGGAGGGGAGAAUGGAACUUCUGGUGGAGCGGUGAAAUGCGUAGAUAUCAGAAGGAACACCGGCGGCGAAAGCGAUUCUCUGGCCUAUUACUGACACUCAGUGUGCGAAAGCUAGGGGAGCAAACGGGAUUAGAACCCCGGAGCCAGAAU
rnacentral:rRNA from 1 species